ensembl:lncRNA
ACCCAGGUUCGAUCCCUGGGUUGGGAAGAUCCUCUGGAGAAGGAAAUGGAAACCUGCUUCAGUACUCUUGCCUGGAAAAUCCCAUGGACUGAGGAGACUGGUCAACCAUGUGUUCUCCAGCCUUGAGAAGGGUGUUCGCUUUGUGUCUGUGGAACAGUGGAUCUUAGUCAUGGAUCUCAACAAUGAGCCAAGUGGAGUCGAACUUACCAACGCCAGUUUGCUCAACUCCAGUUUGAUUGUGCAGGUCGCCUAUCCUAGUCAAGAGCUAUCCUUGGAGAACAACCACCCCACGGAUGUCAGGAACUUUGCGUGCGGGCACACCGUUUCUCUAAUUAAGGACUUGUAGUUCCUGGCCAUCCUGGGAUCUCUUGGGUCCAGUUGAGGGUCCUACUAGAAGAAAAUUCCUGCUACUUCUAUAAGGCAGGCCCUGUUCUUCUGAUUGGAAACCCAUGGGUGAGCACAGGGAAAGGCUGGGUCAUGAAAGGGCUCCUCACCAGGGGCCCUCUGGUUCAGCCCCCCUG